UUGACAUAAAAAAAAAUGAUUAGAUGAACACAAUCUUUUAUAAAAUUCACAUACCCUAAAGCUAGAAGGUCCAGAGGGAAGUGCUCUGAUAGCAUCCAUAGUUCUUGCUGUGCCCCACGCAAGCCUUCUCCAGGUUUUCUUAAAGUUCCUGCUUUCCUUCUCUAUUCUGGUCCAUCUUUGCGGUUAGCUGGGGAAAGGCUUGGGUGUGGUUUCCUCACUUGCUUUGGGAUCAGGCUAUCAAGUUACAGCACUUGGUGUGACUUGGGAUUUUUUCCCUUUUUCCUGUCUGAGCCAAAUGAUGAGGGCAUUACGAAGAAUGAGUUUCCAUUUGUCAUCUGGAAGUCCCUAGAACCCAAGACUGGACCAGGUUCUAAACAGGAAGACAGAGGACCUCCUCCAGGGGCUCUAGAACUGAGUUCAGCCUGUGUCAGUCAUACCUGCACUCGGAUCUCAUUGGUGCUGGGUACAGAACUGGUUAAACCACAAGGACCAGAAGACAGGAAAACAGCUACUGAGGGCAAGCCUUGAACCAGGGACAGGAUGUUUUCACAGGCUCUGGACCUGUUGCAGGCAUUUUAUAUGCAGAAACUUUAAAGCUGUGCUCCACAGAAAACCACGUGAGCCCAGCUGCUGGGGCAAAGCUGCAUUGGAAAGGGUCUGUCUGGGUCUGCCGGACUCUCUGAGAUGUGUUUAUGAUUUAAGUUUGUAUGAGGACACACACUUCCCUUUCUCAUCAUCCGGUCCAGGAUUGCAUGAAUGCAGUAAAAUAUAUUAGCUGGCACACAUUCAAUCUGCUCUCUCUAACCUUGACGAGUGACGGCAGAAAUGAAAAAGAAAUGUCAGGAGACGCUGCUAACAUCCCUAAGGUUCUAAUGGUUGCCUACUCUCUUCCCUGGUCUUCUCCUUAAUGAGGUGCUAAACACAAACUGAUUUGUGUGAACUGAUUCCUUACCAAGGCACAGUUCAAAACCUUAAAUCUUCCAAGGAACAUCCCAAAAUGAUUCUUCAUCCCCACACCUCAUGAUUUUUUUUUUUUAAGUUUGGGAAACUCUCGCUUAAACUAAUUCUCUUACACGAGGCCUGCCAGUCAUUUGGAAAGGAGCCAUGUUCCUUCAUUCCUGGGUGCACCCAGAUCUGCCGGUGCUUGGAAUCACCUUCAGAUUUGAGGGGGCCGCUGCACACAGCUCUGUGUCAACUCCGCAACUGCCUAGGAAUGAACGCUUCAAGUGGAAACGAGAUGUUGGUCAUUCAGGAAAUGGAAUUUUUUUUUCAGCAGCUUUCUGAUCACAGAGUCAAUUUUCCUACUUUUUUCACUUAGAAAGAACGGAGCUCUCUAAAACCACAAAACUCUUGCCAGUUGCCUUUCUAAAGACUCAGCACAACAACCAACAAAAUCUCACCGGGGACAAAAAUCUCAUGGAAAGUCUCCUUUCCUUAAAAGCUAGCUGUCACAAUGGAUGGAAAGUUCAUACCUAGGGUUUUAACUUUAGUUUUAAACCUGGUCAGCCAGAUUUGGCAUGCAAAGACUAUAGAUCACACAGAUCCAAGAGAAGGGUGUCUUGGUAACAGCAACAUCGGUAUACAGCCACAGCACUGUGAACACAGUCCAUUGCUUAUUGGUUCCACAGCCUUCUCUAGCGCUUCUCUCCACCGCUGCGGAGGUUUCGGUGGCCUGGACCCACCCUGCAUUGACUGAUGGCCCUGGUGCUUAGAGCGGUGUAUAGACAAAACAAUCUAGCAAGUAGCUAUAUGGGACUGAGGGAAAAGAAAGUUCUAUUUAUGCCCAGUAAGACCAGGUCUGGAAAUAACACAGAGCUGGUGAGGCAGUUCAAAAUGCUACACAUUGGUGCCCUCGUGUUUGAUUCCAAGUUAAACACGAUGAUUAACAAACCCAUGAGUGGAAGCCAGGAAAAAGAGUGGCUUCUUUCUACAAAGAAUCUGUGCAGACUCCGCAGCAAUCAUCUGAGCGCUUUCAUUUCAUCCCACGGGCGUAUUAGCGUUAUUUGGGAAGGCGUGGGAAUAGUGUCUCUCAGCAUGUACUUAAAGAAGAGAAAGGAUAAAAGAAAACAUGAUAUCCUGAGUUGUCCCUUUAAAGGGAAAUUUUUCAAUUAGCCCCACUUUAAGGUUCUCAGGCCUCUUUUUAUCUCUCUGGAACUUCAACUCUACUCAUGAAUGUCUUUCAUCUCCUCUGCCUUCUUUGACUGCGCUGGAAAUCUUCCCAAACUGCAUUUGGUACCAUUACAUCUAUGCUGUUGGCGAGUACAGAGGACACAUCCUUUAUGGUUUGCUAGAGACCGGUCAAGAAGAAUCCCAGGAAGUUUCUGCUAGUUCUAACGCCAGGCAGAAAGCUUGCCCAGUUCCCAAAAUCUUUCAGGGUAACAUGUCGCCCACAAUUCACUGGAUCUAAGGUUCUGCAAACUUCAGAUUCCUAUUUUUGUCUGGAGAUGAGCACACAGCAGCUGUUGGUCCUCUGCUUAGAGUCCUGUGUCUGUGGGUCCCACUGCAGGGGGCUACAACCUAAAGGUCACCAAGAGACUAAAAGUGCUGGAAUUUCCUUUUGAAGCUUAGACUCCCCCAGCUCCCCCAAGGUGCUGGCAUUCUGUGUAUUCUCCAAAUCACCAGCUGUCCCUUG
rnacentral:lncRNA from 1 species